rnacentral:rRNA from 1 species
UGGCUCAGGAUGAACGCUAGCGGCAGGCUUAACACAUGCAAGUCGAGGGGCAUCGGGAGUAGCAAUACUGCCGGCGACCGGCGCAAGGGUGCGUAACGCGUGAGCAACAUGCCCGUAUCAGGGGGAUAAUCCAUGGAAACGUGGUCUAAUACCCCAUAGUAAUUAUGUAAGGCAUCUUAUAUAAUUUAAAGCUUUGGUGGAUACGGAUUGGCUCGCGUGACAUUAGCUAGAUGGUAAGGUAACGGCUUACCAUGGCUACGAUGUCUAGGGGUUCUGAGAGGAAGGCCCCCCACACUGGAACUGAGACACGGUCCAGACUCCUACGGGAGGCAGCAGUGAGGAAUAUUGGACAAUGGAUGGAAAUCUGAUCCAGCCAUGCCGCGUGCAAGGAAGACGGCCCUAUGGGUUGUAAACUGCUUUUGUAUGGGAGCAAUAAGGGCUACGCGUAGUCCGAUGAGAGUACCAUACGAAUAAGCACCGGCUAACUCCGUGCCAGCCGCCGC